UACGAAGGGGGGCUAGCGUUGCUCGGAAUCACUGGGCGUAAAGCGCACGUAGGCGGAUUGUUAAGUCAGGGGGUGAAAUCCUGGAGCUCAACUCCAGAACUGCCUUUGAUACUGAAGAUCUUGAGUUCGGGAGAGGUGAGUGGAACUCCGAGUGUAGAGGUGAAAUGCGCAGAUAUCAGGAGGAACACCAAUGGCGAAGGCAGCUCGCUGGGACGGUACUGACGCUGAGGCGCGAAAGCGUGGGGAGCAAACAGG
rnacentral:rRNA from 1 species